rnacentral:rRNA from 1 species
ACGCUCGACACCUACGGGAGGCAGCAGUGGGGAAUAUUGCACAAUGGGGGAAACCCUGAUGCAGCAACGCCGCGUGAAGGAAGACGGUUUUCGGAUUGUAAACUUCUGUUCUUAGUGAAGAUAGUGACGGUAGCUAAGGAGCAAGCCACGGCUAACUACGUGCCAAACAGCCGCGGUAAUCUGAGCGGGCUGGCAAGGC